ACUUUGGUGGGCAGGCUUUAGCUCUAAAGUUCUUCUAAACCAAAGCUGUGUCAACAUUAAAGCUGGGACUGGACUUCCAAUCUGAGGACCCAGAAGAGUCAGCAUAUCCUACUUAACUUCUAAGGGUAGGGUGACGGGGAAUCUGCCUCUUGGGACCAGGCUGCCACACUGUAAGGAAGUCCAGAGCUGGCGUGAGAGGCUGCACGGAGGCGAACUGAGCGUCCCACUGAGCUACCAGCCGAAUGCAGCCACAGGAGUGACCCCAGCAGAUGCCACAUGGAAUGGAAGAACAACCCAGUCAAGGCACUGGAUCUCGAGGAACUACAAAAGUUGUUUUAAGGCACUAUUUUGCGGGUGUCUUAUUACAUAUGAGAAUAUCCACUGACAUGAUGUGUUAGUCACACUGUUGGAGGAGAAUAUGAGAAAUAUCCAUGGAUCAGUUCCCCUAAGUGAACCCUCUAAUAUUCCUGAGGCAAAAAAAAAUCUACUGUUAGCAGAAUUCAAUACAGCUUACCUCUCCUGUGGAAACCUUUGUUUUAGCCUCACACAUCCUUGGAGAAAAAAAGAAUUCAACUUUACAGAAAAAUAGUAAAAUAGGAGAACUCUUCUUAACUUUCGUGCUCAUUAAAGUGAAAAUUAAUUAAGAA